UACGUAGGGUGCGAGCGUUAAUCGGAAUUACUGGGCGUAAAGUGUGCGCAGGCGGCCGCGCAAGUCGAGUGUGAAAGCCCCGGGCUUAAACUUGGGAAUUGCGCUCGAACUACGUGGCUGGAGUGUGGCAGAGGAAGGUGGAAUUCCAGGUGUAGCGGUGAAAUGCGUAGAGAUCUGGAGGAACACCGAUGGCGAAGGCAGCCUUCUCGGGCCAACACUGACGCUCAUGCACGAAAGCGUGGGAGCAAACAGG
rnacentral:rRNA from 1 species